GCCAAUAUUCAGGACUUGCCUUUACUUUGUAAAGCAGAGCCAUACUGAUGGGUGAUUCAAACACUUCCUAAUAGAUGUUCACCCCCAUCUGCAAAUUAAGUGCCUUAUCUACUGAUAGAGAACAGCUGACAGCGAGAAGUACAAUGAAAUGUGUUGAUAGCAGGGCUUGGCAUGAGAAACUGGCAGCAGAGGAACUAUGCUAAUGCAAUCAUGUUGUUUCCAGUUGCUGCAGAGGAACGAGAAUUUGUUAAUUCACGUUGCUUGGCUCUGUCGAUUUAGUGUCAAGAGCUGGCAAGAAGAUGGAUGCAGUAAGAAAACAUUUACUUCAGGCUGGAUACUGCUAUUCUGAAAGGGAGAAUUUUCCGGCCUUCGAAGAGUGAAACACCUGAAAAGGACACUACACUUCCUCUACAAGCUCUUCAGGUCCUUGUCAUGCUGCAUUCAGAGUUCCGGAUUGGGGAUUUCAUGAUAUAUGGCACCAUGAAAGCCCCGUGCUGCACUGCAGCACCCAUGCUAUUUCAUUGCAAGAGAACUGCAAAUCAGAAAAAUCCUUGGAAGGAGCAGAGAACAGCAUGAUCUCCUUGCUAACCCAACACAAACAGCUGUAUGCAGCACAAACCAAAUGGCUGACUUUGUGCUUCUGAGACACAAGAGAAGAUGCUGGCAAACAACAUCCUUCAUCUCACAUAGUCCCCUUCCCAUUCUCCAUGAGAUGCAGAGCAAUGGUUUUCAUCCGGUGCAGAUCUGCUUUGGCUCAUCCCUUUCCUUUUUCCCAAGCAGGCUGUUUUGGAGCGUUUCUGCUGGGGAGCAAGCAUGUAUUUCAAAUUACACCAAAAGAUUUCUCCUUGCCCUCUGGAUUUCAUCAUUAUAAUUGCCCCUCCAGCCUAAGCUGCACAGACUGGUGGGAUAUUCCUGAGCUACUCCCCCCAAAACUGGUGAAACAACUCAAGGAUUAGGAAGAAGGAGGGUGCCAAGGUCUACCUUUGAAGGAAAGAUGUCUUGCUAUGAACUUUGUUAGUACACCAGCAACAUAUCUGAAAUCUAUGCAGCACAGCAAUUGUUUGGCACCUUGAUUUAAGGAUGGCAUACAAAAUAAAAAGCAUAGCAUAACAAGACAGUUUGAUGAAAACAGGUGAAGUAAUGCUAGCCACUUGAGGCAUGGCUAUCAAUCUCUUCCCUGUUCCCCGUAAGCUGGCAGGGAACUCAGACGCAGCAGCAGCUAUUCUAACCCAGCCCAUCAGCCUGCAUUGCACUUCCAGACAUGUAACUCUGUGGCUGUGAGUAGUUGAUAUAAACCCCGUCCUUUUAAAGUCUGUUCAAGCAGGAAUGAAAAAUUAAAUGGGAAAGUCAAGUCAAACAUCUCAGCUGUCAUAUUUACUCUGAGAAGCACCCUUGUUGUCACACCUCCUGCUCCCAGGGAAAAGCAGGCUCCCUUAGAACAGGAAAGUUAAUCUUGGAAGUGAACAGAAUUCCCCCCAAAUGACCAGUCACUUCAGCAAACAGAUCAACACACAAGGCCCAAGUAUUUGCUAGCAGACAGUGGUAGCAAAUAAAGUUCAGUUACUUAGUUUUCAGUUUUCAGUAGGGAGUUAUUGUUGAAAAAAAACCCAGCCAUUAAAAAAAUAAAUAAAUAAAUCAAACACCCCAUUAUCCAAGCUUAAAGAAAAGUAGGUCCUCUGCAAAAUCACAAACAAAGACCUGCAGAUUAAAGCAUAAUCUCUAUGUACACAGUUUCCUGCUAGCUGUCGGCAUUAGUUCUCAUUAGCUGUGACUCCACAUCUUGCACAAGGCAAACUGCAGCCACCUCCCUGGAGGAGUUCACAUCAGGAGGGACAUGGGCAGGGUUUGCUGGAAGGGCAGGGGAUCUCUGAGCAGAAAGUAACCCCCACUGCUGGGGAAGUGGCUUGUCUCCAA